CUGAUCUGAGGCAGUUGUAGAACAGCUCUGAGUUACUGAACAAAAAGUGUGCCACUUUCAUUAGGCAAUCAUUUUCUCCUUGAUCCAGCUGAUGAAAGAAUGAGUGAGCAGAUCACAUCUGGAUUCCAAUUCUGUUACAGGAAUAUGCAGAUUUUCUGUAGAUCUGAUGUCUUGUUGGUCAAGGCCCCAUGAAUCUUGCAUACUUUUUUGUCCAGUACACUGCAGCAGAUUUAACAUGAGGGAUGAGGAUACCUCAGACAUACACUUUUUAACCACAGAAGCCCCUUGAAAAAGACUUACCUUCACUGUUCAAAAUGUCAAUUAUCUUUCAAUUCUCUAACAAAAAGGACUACCUCAACAAUUAUUAAUAAUUAAUUUUGACAUAAUAGUUGCUAAAACUCUAAUAUAAGACUGA